GAUCCUGCUCAGGAUGAACGCUAGCUACAGGCUUAACACAUGCAAGUCGCGGGGCAGCAUGAAGUCAGCUUGCUGACUUUGAUGGCGACCGGCGCACGGGUGAGUAACGCGUAUCCAACCUGCCUGUUACCACGGCACAGCCCGUCGAAAGGCGGAUUAAUGCCGUAUGUGGUCCUUUGCGGGCAUCUAAUUAGGACUAAAGGUUCGGCGGUAACGGAUGGGGAUGCGUCCGAUUAG
rnacentral:rRNA from 1 species